UACGUAGGGUGCAAGCGUUGUCCGGAAUUAUUGGGCGUAAAGAGCUCGUAGGCGGUUUGUCGCGUCUGCUGUGAAAACCGGAGGCUCAACCCCCGGCCUGCAGUGGGUACGGGCAGACUAGAGUGCGGUAGGGGAGAUUGGAAUUCCUGGUGUAGCGGUGAAAUGCGCAGAUAUCAGGAGGAACACCGGUGGCGAAGGCGGCGAUCUGGACGAUGACUGACACUGAGACGCGAAAGCGUGGGGAGCGAACAGG
rnacentral:rRNA from 1 species